rnacentral:rRNA from 1 species
UACAGAGGUCCCGAGCGUUGUUCGGAUUCACUGGGCGUAAAGGGUGCGUAGGUGGCAUGUUAAGUUUGAUGUGAAAGCUCAGGGCUUAACCCUGAAAUGGCAUUGAAUACUAGCGUGCUGGAGGUUUGGAGGGGGGACUGGAACUCUCGGUGUAGCAGUGAAAUGCGUAGAUAUCGAGAGGAACACCAGUGGCGAAGGCGAGUCCCUGGACAACACCUGACACUGAGGCACGAAAGCCGGGGGAGCAAACAGG